rnacentral:rRNA from 1 species
GACGAACGCUGGCGGCGUGCUUAACACAUGCAAGUCGAACGGAAAGGCCCUGCUUUUGUGGGGUGCUCGAGUGGCGAACGGGUGAGUAACACGUGAGUAACCUGCCCUUGACUUUGGGAUAACUUCAGGAAACUGGGGCUAAUACCGGAUAGGAGCUCCUGCUGCAUGGUGGGGGUUGGAAAGUUUCGGCGGUUGGGGAUGGACUCGCGGCUUAUCAGCUUGUUGGUGGGGUAGUGGCUUACCAAGGCUUUGACGGGUAGCCGGCCUGAGAGGGUGACCGGGCACAUUGGGCCUGAGAUACGGACCAGACUCCUACGGGAGGCAGCAGUGGGGAAUAUUGCACAAUGGGCGGAAGCCUGAUGCAGCAACGCCGCGUGCGGGAUGACGGCCUUCGGGUUGUAAACCGCUUUCGCCUGUGACGAAGCGUGAGUGACGGUAAUGGGUAAAGAAGCACCGGCUAACUACGUG